UCAUGCCUUACUAGCCAGCAUCCCUCGCUAGCCUCAGUUCUUUCCUGGCUUUAGCCUUCCUGAUGCCUUCCCUGCAAUUCCAUGCUACCUGCCUGUAUUCUUCCUUUGGAGCCUGGUCCUCCUAUUUCCUGUGCAUGUCCUUUUUGUUUUCAGAUCAUCUCUUAGCUUUUUGUGAAGCCACCUGGGCUUCCUUUGUUGUUUUCUACAAUUCUUCCCUGUUGGA